CCGCCCGUCACAUCAUGGGAGUUGGUUUCACCCGAAGUCGCUGGCUCAACCGCAAGGGGAGAGGCGCCUAAGGUGAGGCUGAUGACUGGGAUG
rnacentral:rRNA from 1 species